GCAAUAUUCAAAACUGUCCAGCUAGGUCAGUGGGUCUAGUUGGCAAUUUUAGUCCACUGAAGUCACUCCUCAGCUCUGGUCCAUCUGUACAGUUACCAGCUAAUGAGCUCUUGUCCAUCUCUCACCCCGAAUCUGCACAAUUGUGUACUUAGCCUUAUCAGGCUGCAAACAAAUAGUGCGAGUAAGAACUGCCAUAAAGUGCUGUUAUUGCCGUACUAACCCACAGGGGGCGAGAACAUCAACCGCAAUUGGACUGACCCCAGUAACUUAACUGAGUGAUUAUUUUCCUGCUAGGGAUUUGGAAGAGAACCGUUUUCAAAGAGACUCUACAUAUUCUGACCCCCAAGCCGAUUCUCUGAGGAAGGAUGUGUCCGGACUAACCUACAGCACUGCAUCAGAACCAAGGUCAGAUGAGAACAGUCUGAGUGAUGUAACAGACGGGCAGCUGUGCCUCGCUCUCUUCAAUCUGCUGUACAGACCACCCUAUCAGUCACAGCAGCUGUACAGUACACAGGAUUACUAGACCUAUUUUAAAGCUGACUAAUGUAUGGAAAAAUCGACUAAAAGCAAAACACAAGAAUCUUACUCCACUUGCAUCUACAUUAUCCGCGGAAUGAACAGUCUGGAUGUUUCCACCCCGGCAAUUAAAAUAAUGGAUUUUCAAAAAGUUAAAUUUGCUAUAAAUUUACCCUGCCUAGAAGAUGUGCAAUUUAUUAUAAUAUAGUAUAUUUGUGGACUCUUCUUCGUGAUGGGAUGGGUUUAUCUAGUUAUUAAGAACAGGAACACUGAGACGUUGAAGUCCAACACAGUCCUGACACGUUUUCUUUUUAGUGACUAAUCACAAAGAUAUAAAAUGGAAGGAAACUCUGAAAUCAAUGUUAUACGCUUCAUUGCUUGGUCUCUUCUAAAUAAAAAGAUAAGAUUCUA